rnacentral:lncRNA from 1 species
UCAUGCUCAACAUAAGCCUUCUCUAGCACUUUCUACGACGCCUCCCUAUGUACCUCUGAAUUCAUCAGCAGUGAUAACACGAAGAUUUUUGACGGAGUCUGGAGCAGAUGUUACACAAUGUUGAACUCACUUCUAUUAAUCAGUUUUAAAACUUCAUCAUCAUCGUUAGCCUUCAGUUUGUUGGAUUCACCAUACUGACACAUCAAAGUACUAAUCGGAUUCGCUACUGGAAACUCUGCCUUCUU